AUAGUUACUUUUAAAUCUGUUAUAGAAUGUCCAGGGAGAUUGAAGUGUUCACCUACUGGCUUUUGUAUAUUACCAUUACUGAUGUAAAAGAAGAUGGCUAUACAUAGUGCUUCCCAAAUUGUUGACUGUGAUCUACUGGGUGCUCAUGGAUUUUCUAAUGAAGAGCUAGUGUGAGUUCAUAAUGUGUAGUGGUGCCACUUCUAAACUCAUGAGUACUUCGUUAGAGAGGGUCUCAGUCAAUUAUAGAGCAUGUGUACAAGCUAUGAAGUAUUUCAGUGCCCAGAUACAAUGGGAUGUACCUGAUAAGUGCUUGCCCCCUGCAUUUCUGUACUCUGGCAAAACGCCAGGGCGUUUUACUUGAGCAAAGGCAAUGUCUUUGUGGCCCUGCAGUUCAGCCUACAGGGGGUGUGAAUUGCAGCAUGCACUAGCACAGUGGUUCUCAAACUUUUGUAUCAGUGACCCCUUUCACACAGCCCGCCUCUGAGUGCGACCCCCCCCCAAAUUAAAAACACUUUUUAAUAUAUUUAACACCAUUAUAAAUGCUGGAGGCAAAGCGGGAUCUGGGGUAGGGGGUAACAGCUCGUGACCCCUCAUGUAAUAACCUCGUGACCCCCUAAGGGGUCCCGACCCCCAGUUUGAGAACCCCUGCACUAGCAUGUUGUGCUGUCACUUCCCUGUGUGAAUGCUGCUGGCACAAAUUAGGAGAUACCCAAUUCACAUUAACUUAGUCCUCUUUCAAACAAGACUAUGUUAAUGCAAACAUAGGUACCUUUUAGUUCUUGUCAGUGGCAUCCAUACAGCAUUACAGUGCAGCAUGCUAGUGUAUGCUACAGUUCAUACCCUCAUAGUCGGUGCUGUGGGGUGCGUAGACAAACCUAAAGAGUGCAGGAUUGGGGACAUUGACUAAAUUACAAUAGAAUUGUUUAUUUUAUUUAUUUAUCUAUAUCUAUUUUUGGAGCUCUGUGAUAUUUUCUGUGGAUGCAGAGAGGAAUUAAAUGAUUACAGAUUCAGGCCCUGUGUGCUGCUUGUGUUGCCCUGUCAUGACAAUUGUGUUUAUUGUGGUACCUGCCACGCUGUGAGAAAUUUCAAGGAGCUGUUUAGUGUCCACUCAGAGACCAGCCCACAUAGGAGCAACUUUUCAGGAUGCUCUGAAUGGCCUUGUGGUCAUAGGUCAAGUAAUGGUUACAUUUAUUCUUUGCUCACAUGAUCAAUAAGGAAAAGUACUGUGCAGGUAGUGGCAUAGGACACCUAAAUUGGUGUGAUUAUGUAGAAAAUGCCUAACUAUAGCUAUAUGUUGUUAAAAAAAAAAACUUAAAAUGAGAAAUUAAAAUUGUUAGAACUUUUGUUCCUUGAGGAGAUCCUGAAAAAGGCAACCAGAAAUCAAAGACAUUGCAAUAUGCUGAGUUUAAUAGAUAAAUCUUAAAAAAAAAAAAUCCGAACACUUAUUUUUUAGUAUUAAAAAGGAUCAGAGGUUUUCUUUAUUCACCACUGACCGUCUCUUUUCUCCCUGGUGGUUCUGAUUUUAUAUAUAAUGGCUACUAAAGAAGGGGAGUUGAAAAGCCUCUAGCCCAUAACUUAUUAAAAAUUUACACAUUGUUCCAUAAGAAGUAAAAUUUACAAACUGAGCCAACAUGAGGUGAGAGGCACAGUAAAGUUGGAUUAGGAUCAGUAUGGCUGCUUUCAUUACGCACAGUUGUAUGAUAGUAAAUGUGAUUUCUAAAACCUACUUUCCACUUCAUGUGAAAUGCAUCAUUUAAGUUCCUUCCCAAAAAACACAUUCAUAAUUAUUGUCGGUAUUAUGUCUUUUUAAAGUGUAAUCUGGGCUCUAGAAACAUAAGAACGUCCAUACUGAGUAAGACCAGAGGUCUAUCUAGCCUGGUAUCCCGUCUUCCAACAGUGGCCAAUGCCAGGUGCCCCAAAGGGAAUGAACAGAACAGGCAAUCAAGUGAUUCAUUCCCUAUUGCCCAUUCCCAGCUUCUGGCAAAGCUUGAGAAGCUUCAUAUUUAAAUAGGCAUUGUUGCUUUUGGACCAUGCUCCAGCACUUGCGCAGCUAUUUCCUUGUUGCAUACCUAAACUAAAUAUUUUCUGAUCACGUAAGAAUUAGCUAGGGAUACUGAUACUCCAAGGCAUAUUUACUACAUAUGCACUGAUCACCUCAUUUCCUAAGCUCUCAUGCCUUUGGCACUCAGCACCCCAGGGGAUUUUAUGGUAACUAGUUAUGCUCUGUGUAUUCUAAUUCUUCUCUAAAUUGCACUUCUUUAGCAAGUCCUAUUAAUGUUAAUUUGUCAAACAAAGAAAUGUUUUAUUGUUGAAAAAGAAACCUGUGGUGUUUUCUGCUCGAUCAGCUUUCUCAUCUUCUGGUACAUUUUGUAUCUGAAUUGUAUUGUUUGCCUAGAUUGUAAGCUCCUUGGGGCAGGAACCAUAUCUUCCUUGGUUUGUACAGAGUCAUACAUUCUAUCAGCACUAUUGUGCAGCAGUGAUUAUUGGAGAAAGAGAAAGGUGCUGUGAUCCAAUCUCCACAGCACUGGAAUGGGACUCAGACCCAGGGAUUUCAGACGCAGGCUCUGCUACUGUCUGGCUCUGUGACCUUGGGAAAGUCACUUCACUACUAGAUUUUUAUUUCCAUUUUCACCUUUUGUCUGCUUAGUCUAGUUAGACAAUAGGACUUUCAGAGUAGGCCUGUCUUUUACUAUAUAUUUAUACAGUGCCUAGUACAAUAGAGCCUGAUCUUGGUUGGGGUCUUUAGAUGUUAACAUAACACUAUUUAUUUAUUUGUUGUUUGGCUUGAUGUGGAAACCUGUCUGCCAGGAACUGCACCGAGACCACCUACUUUUCACUUUGCGACUACUUGUCAGGAGCUUGAAUCUACACCCUGAGGUCUGAACACGGCAAUUUGUUUGAAAUCCACCCUUUUCCAUUUUGAGCAGUUGUGUUCAGUGUUUAUAUUUGAUACAUUAUGGGCCUGAAAACUCAAAUCCAAUUAUAAUGUUCAGAUUUAGGGUUUUGGUCAAGUCUACCUCUGGUUGCAACCUGAGUUAGAUUCAAACUGGUGAAAAUUUCUUUAACCCCUCACUAACCCCACGAGUCUUCAAGUCUGUUUUAAAGGACCACUUUUUAAUAUCUGUAUGCUAAGAAGGGAGAAUCUCCUUUAUUUCCUUUUUCAACAAAGCACCUCCCCUUCGCUACCAUUAUUCAAAUAAUUAGUGUCACCCUUGACCUAGAAUUGUCUUCUCCAGUAUCUCCCAUAUGUGUAAAUAUAUACAUCACCAAAUAUGCCACAAUACCCAUGUACAUCUUUACCCCAGCCCUUACUACUGAUGCCUUCAUUUCCUCUCAGCUUGACUGUUAUAGUUCCCAGCUCUUCAGACUCCAGCAUAUGCAGUAUGCUCCUGCUAUAUACUCAUAAAUUCAAGAAGCACAACUAAAUUACAUGUAUUUACAAACAAUUUUCUAGUCAUUUCAGGAUUGACUUCAAGUUCUCUCUGAUCCAGUUCACAAUUUCCCUCCUUGAGACAAAUUUUACUCAGUUAGUUAUUCUGGAUUUAUACCAGCGUAACUUAAUUGCCGUUAGUCUUUGAAGUUCACUAAAAUCAAAGGAGUUACUAGGGAUUUACCCCAAAAUGUGAACCCUUAUGUUUAAAACCUGACAUGGACCUGGUCUGUCUUAGUCCAUCUUCUCCCCUACCCAUUUCUUCUGUUAGACUCACUGCCUCUAUGUCCUUUCACACAGUAUCAUUACUGUUGGUACAAGAGCCUUCUUUAUAGCUUCUGCCAUCUGCCUUCCCAUGUUUCUAUCUUGAACUCUUUGUCUUUGCAUCUACCUCAUAAUUCCUCUUUCCCUCUACCUGCUAUUUAACUUCUGAAUUGUAUUAUUUCUGUCUGAUUAUAUAAUCUAGCUGUGUAAAACAUUUUGGAAUAUAGUUUGAAUGAAAGUUGCUGUACAAAAUAAAGCAAUAUUGUAUUGUAAUUAAAUAGUAACCUCAACAAAUUGGAGUUUGACACAUGUAGUUGCCAUUCACAAUUUCCAGAAAAUGGUAUGAAACUUGUAUCAAAUUUGUACUUGUCAAUGUAGAAAGUCUCUAUAAUAAUGUAUGGGGUGUUUUUUUACCAAAAUUAUACUUGCCAGCUUUACAGUUUAUUUGUAGUCAGAUGUUAAAAUUGAUAAACAAUGGGGAACUGUUAGAAAUUACAUGUUUAGUUUUUUAAAAAUUCAUUAUUUGCCAGGCCAACUGACCAGUCUCAUUUUAUAACUUCUCCAUUCAAAGUACAGAAAAUUGCCAGCUGCUGAAGUUGAGCUGACCUGAAAAUGCUGAAUAAAGCUUAAGACAAAGCAGAGCCACCUGCUCAGCUGCAUAAGGAGGACAGAAAAAAUAAGUUCAGGACAGACCUGGAUUUCAACAGCAGUAAAGAAGGCCAGAAGCAUUGACACCCCUUUGUAACAGGACCUGUGGGGUAUUAUCUACUGCUCAUUUGCAUCUCUUGGCUUUUCCAGCUGCUACCUAGAAAGUAAAGAAGUUUUGCCAGAUGUUCAAGAGGAAUCUACAUUAAAAAUGCCAAAUAAAGCCCAAGAGGAUGCUGUGAUUAACCUGAAAUCAGUACAAGAACUGGGUAAGCAGCUGGGUUUUGAGUGGACAAUUGUUGCUAAUGAGCUGGGAUUCAGCAGAGCAGAAAUAACCCAGUUUCACUCAGCUAGCACAGAGAAGAAGAUUCAGGCACAGAAAAUGCUGGAAUGCUGGUAUGAACGAUCAUGGAAUAAACUUAACAAGACAAAGAUCCUUCAGGAUGCCUUGGAACGGGCUGGAAGAAAGGACCUGGCUGAUAAACUUCAGUGCCUGCACUGGGGACAUCAGAAGUUAAGCAGCAGAGUGGAGCUCCCUUCUGCUUUCCCCUUUCUCAUCACCGUGCACAAAACCAUCAACAACAAGGAAGGGCUUAAGAAAAUUAACCAACUUAGUCGCAAGUAUCCCUAAGGAAUGUCAAGUCUAGUCCUCCCUGGUUUGGUGAAGGACGCACUGAAUGUCUCAGAAUCAGCCCACAAGCAUCCAGAGAAUUCCCCUGCCAUGGGCACUGCAUUGUGCCAUCACAGACAGCUCUACACUGCACACUCCAGCCGUGGGAGGCAGGAAAUCAAGGGCAGAAAAUUUAACACAGAGCUCCUACGGCUGUACCCCAAGGACCAUCCUUCAUCUCUAUGUAAAAAUAAGCAUGAACUUCCAAGACAUGACAAUAAAUA